rnacentral:rRNA from 1 species
AUACGGAGGGUGCAAGCGUUGUUCGGAAUCACUGGGCGUAAAGGGCGCGCAGGCGGUUUGGUAAGUCAGAUGUGAAAGCCCAUGGCUCAACCAUGGAAGUGCAUUUGAAACUGUCAGACUUGAGUACUAGAGGGGAAAGUGGAAUUCCCGGUGUAGAGGUGAAAUUCGUAGAUAUCGGGAGGAAUACCGGUGGCGAAGGCGACUUUCUGGCUAGAUACUGACGCUGAGGCGCGAAAGCGUGGGGAGCAAACAGGAGUAGAAACCCUAGUAGUCC